CUUUAAGCUCAUGGUCAAGGAGAUAUUAAGGUUACAUCCAACAACUCCACUCUUGCUCCCAAGAGAGGCAUCGUCUCAUUUCAAGGUCCAAGGCUACGAUAUUCCUGCGAAAACACAGAUCCUAGUCAACCUUUAUGCGAUGGGUCGUGAUCCAAAACUCUGGGAAAAUGCGGAUGAGUUUAACCCUGACAGGUUCCUCGACAGUUCCAUUGAUUAUAAAGGAAAAAACUAUGAGUUGCUACCGUUUGGAUCUGGUAGGAGAAUAUGUCCUGGGAUGGCAAUGGGAACCAUGCUUGUUGAGUUGGCAUUGUUGAAUUUGCUUUACUUCUUCGAUUGGGGAUUGCCGG
rnacentral:lncRNA from 1 species